AUGAAUCCUCCUUCCAUGAAUGAUCAGUGUAAGGCUCUAGCUCAGAAUAAUUUCUCACUUUUUUUUUAAUUAGAGUUUUUUUUGUAAGUUCCUUUGAAUAAGCUUCAAACUUCGCCAAGGUAGCAUAUAUGUCGUCUUGAAUGUCUAACUUCACCCCGCCUACAACAUAAAAAGAAGAAUAUCUUAGUAGUAAUGCAUUCGAUAAAAAAUUAUUAAACAAGAAUAAAACUAAAAAUAAAAAGAAUAGAAAAUAAAAUUUAAGAAGAAAC
rnacentral:lncRNA from 1 species